UACGUAGGGGGCAAGCGUUGUCCGGAAUUAUUGGGCGUAAAGAGCUCGUAGGCGGUCUGUCGCGUCGGAUGUGAAAGCCCGGGGCUUAACUCCGGGUCUGCAUUCGAUACGGGCAGACUAGAGUGUGGUAGGGGAGAUCGGAAUUCCUGGUGUAGCGGUGAAAUGCGCAGAUAUCAGGAGGAACACCGGUGGCGAAGGCGGAUCUCUGGGCCAUUACUGACGCUGAGGAGCGAAAGCGUGGGGAGCGAACAGG
rnacentral:rRNA from 1 species